CUCCAGGAGCCUACCUUGGCAGGCAGUGAGAGAGCAAGCGGCAUCUGCUGGUCCAGGGGGUCAAAGGCUUGAAGAGUCCCAAAGAGAUCGCGAUACACUCCUGGGCAGGGCCUGAGGAAUCUGAAGGAAACAGUUUGCAAAAGCCACUGCUUUGGGCCACACCUGUGAGGAGCAGUAGAGCCCGCUGGGUCUCCUGACCAACCAGCACGAUCUGCUUGAAAGUCAUGGAGUGGUGGAAUGUCAUCUUGAAGACCCGCUGCCCGCUAGACUGCAGAUAGACCUCAACACAGUCGCAGGCCCGGCUGCUGGUGGUACCCACCACUUCCUGCUGCUCCCGAGUGGCCAAGACGUACAGGGCCGGACUCCAGAACCCUGAUCUCGGAGGCGCGGACUCAGUCUGCGACAGAUGCGUCUCCACACGCCUUCCGCGUCGCACACUUCGUGGAAGUAGCGGCAGGUCUGGCCGAGGGCGACAAGGUCUCUGACUGGGAGGAAUGAGAUGAUAUGCUCCACCUGGGAGGGAGGAGGGAAGAGGCGGGGGGGUCAUUGGUGGCUCCUUGGUGGUCUGGCCCCCAAUGCUAUUAUUCUUAACCCCCCUCCCCAAGGACUCACCAGCUCUGGGGGGAACAACUGGAUAGAAAUCGGAUUCCCUUUCCCCUUCUUCUCUUCAACCCCAAGCUCCGGGCCACAAGAAGGGCAGCUUCUCUUCACCUACCCAAGAAGGGAUGCAUAGGGUCCCAUGAGGGUCCCACAUCCUUUUUUCCCUUCUCUCUGCCUAUCUUGGGGCUCAUCUGACUCCAGCUGGGUGCAGUCAUGUCCUCCCCUCUCUCUCCAGACCCAUCCCUAACUUCUCCAAAUAACUCCUCCCAAUCUCCUGCGGCCAAUCCCCCUCACCCGGAGCCCCUCCUCCCGUCCACACAGCCUGGUGAAUUUUUGCAGCUUCCGUCUCUGGCUUCUCCUCACCAUCCUGAUUGCCCCCUCCCUGCUCCUGCCCUCCUGUCUCCUAGGCCCUUGGCCCCCCGUUCCUGCUGGCUUUCCCACACCAUGUCCCCUGCCUAGGCUUGGGGGACCUCUGGGGCCCCUCUGCCUCCUAGACCCCUCCCCCAUGGAGUCUGGGGCUAACAAACCUCUCUGUGACCUCACUGUUUGGCCACUGUGACCUGUUCCCUUUAAUCUUGUCCAGGACCCAUCUCUCAGACAGCUCCUGGGUUCUAGCUCAGUUCUAGCCAUCACAUGGCUCAAGGGAUAUGCAUUUUACUGGAGAAAUAAAGUGUGAAUUACUGGUAGGUGACAUCUUUAUUUCAGGGAGCAGGAGGAGGUUUUCCACUUGAGGCCCUUUUAGCACUAACUCUGUAGAUAAACACUGGUGAAUUCUUCACGUUUCAGCAGGCCAAGGCCUCCAGGGAUUGGUAGCUCAAGAGUAUAGACUCAAAAAACUAUAAACUCAGUUUGACAGGUGAGAUGGAGAGGUGACUGUGCUCAUAAUCGUUUAGCUCACAAAUGAUUCAGCAAACUCUUUAGACUCAUGAAAAAACACACCCAAAAGGAGACUGCAGCCUGGUGCCAGUGGCUCAUGCCUGAAAUUCCAGCACUUUUGGGUGGUCAUGGUGCAAGGAUGGCUUGAGGCCAGGGGUUCAAGACCAGCCUGGUCAACAUAGAGAGACCCUGUGUCUAU